rnacentral:rRNA from 1 species
AGGAGGGGUUGAAGCAGUCUAGUUACGCAUCUAUACUGGGAAAUUGCGACGGGUCCAUUAAAUCAGUUAUGGUUUAUUUGAUAGUCCCUUACUACUGGGAUAACGGGGGUAAUUCUAAAGUUAAUACUGGCUAAAAACCCCGACUUCGGAAGGGGGGUAUUUUUUAUAUAAAAAACCAAUGCUCUUCGGGGCUCCUUGGUGAUUCAUGAUAACUUAACGAAUCGCAUGGCCUUGUGCCGGCGAUGGUUCAUUCAAAUUUCUGCCCUAUCAACUUUCGAUGGUAGGAUAGUGGCCUACCAUGGUUUCAACGGGUA